GCCUAAAACGUGGGUGACGGUUCCCCGAGGAAGGACUUCCAGGGGAUUAAUAGGGAACACGGUGCGGACGACCCAAUAGGGACCAAGACCGUGGCUGCCCCCGCAACUGUGAGCGGAUUGCCGAGCGUCCUCGUGACGUCCUUCUCCUAGAGGAUGUCAUGCCACUGUCGGGUUCAUUCCCGACGGGAAGGCAGAUGUGAAGCAGAUAUCCGCAAGCCAGGAGACCUGCCGUCGAAGUCGAAAAAUC
rnacentral:ncRNA from 1 species